rnacentral:rRNA from 1 species
CCUACGGGUGGCUGCAGUGGGGAAUAUUGGACAAUGGAGGGAACCCUGAUCCAGCGACGCCGCGUGAGUGAAGAAGUCUUUCGGUAUGUAAAGCUCUAUCAGCAGGGAAGAAAGCAAUGACGGUACCUGACUAAGAAGCCCAGGCUAACUACGUGCCAGCAGCCGCGGUAAUACGUAGGGGGCAAGCGUUAUCCGGAUUUACUGGGUGUAAAGGGAGCGUAGACGGCGAGGGAAGUCUGAGGUGAAAGGCGGGGGCUCAACCCCCGGACUGGCUGGGAAACUGUAUGGCUGGAGUGCAGUAGAGGUAAGUGGAAUGCCUAGUGUAGCGGUGAAAUGCGUAGAGAUUAGGAGGAACACCAGUGGCGAAGGCGGCUUACUGGACUGUAACUGACGUUGAGGCUCGAAAGCGUGGGGAGCAAACAGGAUUAGAUACCCCAGUAGUC